AGGAUGAACGCUGGCGGCGUGCCUAAUACAUGCAAGUCGAGCGGUAAGGCCACUUCGGUGGUACACGAGCGGCGGACGGCUGAGUAACGCGUAGGAACGUACCCCAAACUGAGGCAUAAGCACCAGAAAUGGUGUCUAAUACCGCAUGUGCUCUUCGGAGUAAAGCUUCGGCGGUUUGGGAACGGCCUGCGUCCGAUUAGCUUGUUGGUGAGGUAAUGGCUCACCAAGGCGACGAUCGGUAGCUGGCCUGAGAGGAUGAUCAGCCAGACUGGGACUGAGAACGGCCCAGACUCCUACGGGAGGCAGCAGUAGGGAAUUUUCCACAAUGGGCGAAAGCCUGAUGGAGCAACGCCGCGUGCAGGAUGAAGGCCUUCGGGUUGUAACUGCUUUUAUCUGUGAAGAUUAUGACGGUAGCAGAUGAAUAAGGAUCGGCUAACUCCGCGCCAGCAGCCGCGGUA
rnacentral:rRNA from 1 species